UAUAACCCAACCCUCCAAAAAUAUCCAUUAAACGAUCUUCGACAUAAACAGCAAAUAACUUGCAUGUGUAUGCGCUGAUCAGUUCUGUACUGUCUGCACGCGCAGUGUCGGAUUUCAGCCGCGCGCGUCGUGAGCGAGUAAUUAGAAUGCGCGUGAACGCAGCAUUUUAAACUCAAACCGUUACGGACGUCCGUUUGAGCUCAGCGCUCGAGAGGACGACAAUUAAAUUGCUAAAAGCAAAAAGAAGAAAUGUGGUUUACGGUGCUGUCCGGCCGGGCCUGCGCUAUUCUCCGCCAGGAGAUUGUAUUGGACCUAGAAAACGCAUAAAACGAUGUUUCAGGAGCAGUCAAAUCACGUGAUCACAGCCAGACCGCAGGAGAAACCCCGAAGAACAAAGAGAGGAGGUGAUGAAGAUGCUUCUUCUGUGGAUAUAGCUAUUGUAUUGGACCUAGAAAACGCAUAAAACGAUGUUUCAGGAGCAGUCAAAUCACGUGAUCACAGCCAGACCACAAGAGAAACCCAGAAGAACAAAGAAAGGAGGUGAUGAAGAUGCUUCUUCUGUGGAUAUAGCUGGAUGGACUCUGGAGUGCAGCAUUACUUCAAUAAGAUGAAAAUAACACACUCCUCUAUGAUUCACGAUGUCAAGCCCCCUGAACGCAAAGAGAGUCCGCAUCAAAAUGGAUUGAUUGAUUCUGAUUGAAAACAAAGAUGUCAAAAGUAUCUGUUGGCUGUCUACUUUUUGUUCAAUAUGCAAAAAUGUCUUAAAUGAUUACAUAUUAUGUUGAUGUGUUAUGCCUAUGGGUAUUUAAGUUUUUCUAGUGAUAAAGUAACUAUAUAAGCAGGUUAAUUCAUAAAAUUUAAUUAAAAUAAAUUAAAAACUAAAUCAAUAAAAUGAACCCCUAAAAGGUUCUAUAUAGAACCUUUUUUUCUGGCAAUAAAGAACCCUAAAGGGUUCUUUUGAUUGAACCCUUAAAAAGUGUUCUAUAUAGAACCUUUUAGGGGUUCCAUAUAUGUAGCGCCUGAUAGAACCUUUUUUGGUUCUAUAUAGAACCUUUUCUUCUAAGAGUGUAUGAAUAAGCUGGUGUGUUCCAACACAAUGAUAAAAUUCGCAUUUAGGAGAUAUAAGCAUUCAAAACUUACAGUCUCUCACUCCCGCUAAAACGGAUCACGGAUUUUUAUGACAUCACAUCACACUUUAGCUUCUCAUCAAAUCUUCUGUCCAAUCAAAUGCUCUCUAGAAUAUGAAGUCCCGCCCCCUCCUACACUAUCAACAGACGCUGAGGCUGCAGCUGAAAUCGGUCAUUUGUUCACACAUUUACUAGUUUCUACAUGGUGAAUAG